GUAUCGCCCAAGAACAAGAAGAACAGAGUUGAGUUCGGGACAUGGAAGCAGCUCGUUAUCGUGGGUUUCUUUCUACACGGGCCACAGAGAGACAGGAUAAAGCGUCUACGCACCGUGGUUAUCUCACGACAUUCUGCUGAAAAGGGCUGUUUGUGAACGGUGCAAAAAAAAGAAAAUGUGGCCGCGUGUCUAUCUUAACCAUUCUGGAUCCAGGUUGCCCCUGAAGGUAGAAUGUCUCGAGUUCCAUGGCUUCUUAACAGGAUAUAGAAAACAAAGAAAAUGAUUCCGGACCCAGGUUGCUCCUGAAGGUAGAAGGACUCGGCUUCCAUGGCUUCUUAGCAGGAUCUGGAAACAAAGCCACACCGGUGUAUGCAUCUCUGUAAAUAGCAG